rnacentral:rRNA from 1 species
ACACCGGCAGCCCAAGUGGUGGCCAUUUUUAUUGGGCCUAAAGCGUUCGUAGCCGGCCUGAUAAGUCUCUGGUGAAAUCCCGCAGCUUAACUGUGGGAAUUGCUGGAGAUACUAUCAGGCUUGAGGUCGGGAGAGGUUAGAGGUACUCCCAGGGUAGGGGUGAAAUCCUAUAAUCCUGGGAGGACCACCUGUGGCGAAGGCGUCUAACUGGAACGAGCCUGACGGUGAGGAACGAAAGCCAGGGGCGCGAACCGGAUUAGAUACCCGGGUAGUCCUGGCCGUAAACGAUGUGGACUUGGUGUUGGGAUGGCCUCGAGCUGCCCCAGUGCCGAAGGGAAGCUGUUAAGUCCACCGCCUGGGAAGUACGGUCGCAAGACUGAAACUUAAAGGAAUUGGCGGGG